UACGUAGGGUGCAAGCGUUAAUCGGAAUUACUGGGCGUAAAGCGUGCGCAGGCGGUUUUGUAAGUCUGUCGUGAAAUCCCCGGGCUCAACCUGGCAAUUGCGAUGGAGACUGCAAGGCUAGAAUCUGGCAGAGGGGGGUAGAAUUCCACGUGUAGCAGUGAAAUGCGUAGAGAUGUGGAGGAACACCGAUGGCGAAGGCAGCCCCCUGGGUCAAGAUUGACGCUCAUGCACGAAAGCGUGGGGAGCAAACAGG
rnacentral:rRNA from 1 species